CGAGAUGCUCUCCCCCGAUCACCCCACAGCUUUCAAAAGGUUGACCGUGUCAAAAUCUAGAUAUCAAACACUGAGCAUGAAAGACAAGGAACUGGGUGUCUGGCUUUGUUCCCGACACCAUCGGUGUGCCACCAGCACUUGGUUCAGCUGCUUCCUCUCCUCACUGAGCUCCUCUGAUAUUUCCUUGUGGAGAAGAACCAUGGUGGGCUGCAGGUCCUCCUGAAUUCACCAAGAAGCGGCACUGAGUGCCAAAAGCAAAGUGUGGUUUAAUCUUCAAAGGAUGACAAAAUGGUUUGUCAAGAGAUUGGCCUCUUUGGAAAUCAUGGCUUAUGUCAGUCCCCAGCAUCUGAGGCCAAUCAAGCUGUGCACAGUGCAGGACCUCCAUCGGCAGCACCCCAACCCGGCUGGGCAGAGCAGUGCCUGUGGGUGCUGCCGGGGCCACCCCUCCUCACACUGCACAGUGUGUGGGAUGAGCUAGAGGGGAUGUCAGACAAGAGGGGCUGCCAGGUGCAGAGAUCACCUGGCCUCUGAAUGAGGCGGUUAUGGGAAGCAUUGGAGGACUGUGUGAACUGAGAGACGAACAGAGUGUGCAUAAGGAUGGGCUGCCCCUCGGAGCUGGCAUGCCGUGUUUUCCUGCUGUCUCAUUGACUUCUUGCCAAAAAGGCCAAAAUGUCAGAGUUUUCUCAGGAAUUCUAAAGUUGGAACUUAAAAGUACUUGGAGCACUUGGUUUAAUAGACCUUCACAUCAGCGUAUUCCCAGUUCCACACAGCUCCCCAGUGACAUGGGACCUUUUGUCAAGCACAUAUGAAAUUAAGUGAAAUAAAAAUCAUAUUAAAAAUUAUUACCAUCUAACAGCCAUUAGUCUGCACAUUGCUGUCACGUCUUGAUGGAUUUCUCACUUAGUUCAAUGAAUGUUCUAACGACAGUGAUAAAAUCACUCAGAAAAAAUAUAAUAAACUGUUAACCCUUUCUGCUGCCUCUUGUUUUUCAAAGCCGAGUAAAAGUUGCUCUGCACUAAAUUGCUCCCAGGCUGAGGGGGUGCUGGGGGAGGCCACUGCCACGUGGGCACCCGGAGGGCUGGCGGUGCCGCCCCUGUCCCCCAACUGGGGAUGUCAUGCUGGGCACACGACUCUCACUGUGUGCUGCCAGGACAGUGACGGCAUCUCCAGUGGCCUCUGCUGGGCAGAGCUGCAGACGGUUGGGAGCAUGUGAAGGAGAUGUGGGUAUGAACA
rnacentral:lncRNA from 1 species